rnacentral:rRNA from 1 species
AUGCCCCAGAUCCACCGCAAGCGGGCGAGCAUGGCGGCGGUAGGCGGCGACGCGGCGAGCAUGGUGGCGGUGGGCCUGGUGUGGGGCGCCACGAACGCGCUGAUGCGCCGGGGCGCGCUCGUCUGGGACCGCCGCUCCCGCUCCCUUCCUGCCGGCACCGGCGCCGUCCGGCGGUGGGCCGACCUCCUGCUCACGUGGCAGUACUCGGCGCCGUUCCUCGCCAACCUCUCGGCCUCCGCCGCCUUCUUCCGCCUCCUCGGCGACUCGCCCAUCUCCGUCGCCGUGCCAGUCACCAACGCCACCACCUUCGCCGCCACCGCCGUCGCCGCCGCGCUCCUCAGGGAGGCCACCCGCGCCGCGCCCGCCGCGCUCGGCACCGCGCUCAUCGUCCUCGGCGUCUGGGUCUGCAUUGUCUAA